UUGUACCUGGUGUGAUUAUAAAGCAAUGAGACUGAUUGUCAUAUGUCGUUUGUGGGAUCCGUCUCAGUUACUUUAUAGCCAUACCUGGUAUCUUA
ensembl:miRNA microRNA 340